rnacentral:tRNA from 1 species
AGGGAAAUAUAUAAAAGUAGCUGCUAACUAGCUUUUAAAGCGGUUAAAUUCCGUUUAUUCCCUA